rnacentral:rRNA from 1 species
CAAACCCGAGGAAGGUGGGGAUGACGUCAAGUCAUCAUGGCCCUUACGGCCUGGGCUACACACGUGCUACAAUGGUCGGUACAAAGGGUUGCCAAGCCGCGAGGUGGAGCUAAUCCAUAAACCGAUCGUAGUCCGGAUCGCAGUCUGCAACUCGACUGCGUGAAGUCGGAAUCGCUAGUAAUCGUGAAUCAGAAUGUCACGGUGAAUACGUUCCCGGGCCUU